rnacentral:rRNA from 1 species
GGAUCCAGACUUUGAUCAUGGCUCAGGAUGAACGCUGGCGGCGUGCCUAACACAUUCAAGUCGAACGGAGUCUUAGAGAUAAAUCCUUCGGGAAGCGUUUUUAAGACUUAGUGGCGGACGGGUGAGUAACGCGUGAGCAACCUGCCUCUGUGAGGGGAAUAACGUCUGGAAACGGACGCUAAUACCGCAUAAAGCAUCGAGACCGCAUGAUCAUGAUAUCAAAGAUUUAUCGCACAGAGAUGGGCUCGCGUCUGAUUAGAUAGUUGGUGAGGUAACGGCUCACCAAGUCAACGAUCAGUAGCCGGACUGAGAGGUUGAACGGCCACAUUGGAACUGAGAUACGGUCCAGACUCCUACGGGAGGCAGCAGUGGGGAAUAUUGGGCAAUGGACGGAAGUCUGACCCAGCGACGCCGCGUGAAGGAAGAAGGCCUUCGGGUUGUAAACUUUAGUUAUCAGGGAAGAAAGAAAUGACGGUACCUGAAGAGAAAGCCACGGCUAACUACGUGCCAGCAGCCGCGGUAAUACGUAGGUGGCGAGCGUUAUCCGGAAUUACUGGGCGUAAAGGGUGUGUAGGCGGGACUGCAAGUCAGAUGUGAAAAUUACGGGCUCAACUCGUAAAGUGCAUUUGAAACUGUGGUUCUUGAGAGCCGGAGGGGUAAAUGGAAUUCCCAGUGUAGGGGUGAAAUGCGUAGAUAUUGGGAGGAACACCAGUGGCGAAGGCGAUUUACUGGACGGCAACUGACGCUGAGACACGAAAGUGUGGGGAGCAAACAGGAUUAGAUACCCUGGUAGUCCACACUGUAAACGAUGAAUGCUAGGUGUGGGGGAGCAAUCCUCCGUGCCGGAGUUAACACAAUAAGCAUUCCGCCUGGGGAGUACGGCCGCAAGGUUGCAACUCAAAGGAAUUGACGG